UAUUUAUCCAUUGAACUGGCCAUUUUAAAUCUAAACUUCUAAACACAAAUCAAACCAUCAUCCUUGUAGAAUCUUUAAUAGGAGUGGGCUAAAGAUCCUGGUUUUGUUUACAGGAUUUAUUGGUUCAUGAAGAGCAAGAGGUAAGUACAAGCCUAACUACCCUCUAGCUCACAGACCUGCCCGGUGAAUAGAGCUUUGUUUUUUUGAUGGGCUUGUGAUGACUUUGAGAUCAAUUGCUCAUUCAUUACAGUAAAAAAAAAAAAAAUUGUUUUGAACAUGACAGCAAAAAUAACUUUAAGCACAACUUAAUAAUAAUAGAUCACCAAUUUUAGUUAAUAAUUUUAUGCUAUACUCUUGGGUGAGGGAAGACUCGGACACUCAAUAUGAGAUCAGCAAGCUAUGUUUAUUGCAGAGAGUAUCAGACACUUAUACAGCACAUAAUAAGCUUAUGAAUAUUCUGUAAGCCAAGCGAUCUAUUGGUUAAACUAUACCAUCAACUCUUCCUCAUUCCUUUGGGCCUACAUUCCCUAUUUCCCACGUCUCUCUGUCUACUUGUUAUCCUACCCAGCUAGGCCCAGGCACACGCUAUCUUGCAGGUGCAAAACUCAAAAAUACCUGUGUUCGGUACUUUCCCAGCUCCUGGUCGGCUAACGAGCGAAUGUCUGCGUGACCUCUGUCAUGGAGCCAUUUCUCCACACUAUACUAUCAAAGUUUAAAGGGAUCAGUGAAUUUUAACUCUGGAGUCCUCUAUGCUAAGGAUGCUCAGCUUACAGAUGAUGAAAUGUUCAGUAAUGGUGAGUUUUUCACCUUCUCCUUCAUUGUUUUGCUCAUCUGAAUAAAAAAAAAAAAAGGCAAGAUUAAAGAAAAAGCAAUAGUUUUAUUAUUUUUACCCUGUUAUGUCUGUUUCCUCAGUAUUUGCUGGAGCUGUGCUUACCCAAGGUUUGGGUAAAACAAGCUUUGGGUUCCUUCUGUCUCACUGGGAGUUGCCCAAUUCAGUUGCAUCUGGUGAAAUUCACCCUGAGACCUUACAGAACCAGCUCCAACUACGUGAGAGCCAUUUGCAGUUCUCUCCAGACGCCUGGAGAAUGGGCGACGUUUCUGAGGAUCCGGCGAGCGUGCUUCUGUCAAAACUCAGUCUGUGAAAUUUCUGGGGAAAACCCUUCUGUGUCCUGAAGGGUUCAAACUCUGGUGAGGAUCCAGUUAUCAGGUGCUCACCUGGAUGGUUCCAGCUGCCAAAGGUAACACUUGUACUCUUGCCCUGUAGUUUACAUCUAUUGUAUUUUUGUUAUUUUGCAGGAUUUUUUGUCUUUGCAAAAUAUUGUGCAUUUCACUCUUUGGAACCUCUCAGAUGGUUCUUUGGUGCAGCACCACCCCAUGGGACACUUGGCUGCUGUCCUGAAGGGGUUGGUCGCUAGAAUUGUGAAUCCUGGAGAGUUUAUAAGUCUUCUGUCCCCAGGGAGGUAUCAUGCUUGGUUUACUUUUGUUCUGUUGGUUAGGUGCUGCUUCUCGUUGCAAGUAUGAAUUUCAAACUGCCCUGUUCUUUUUUUAACUGUUUUCCUGGUUCUCUCCGUCCGGCAGGGAAAGACUCUCGUAUCCUUGUCGUCGGGCUCGGUGCUGUCCAAGAAGAUACAGAGACUAAAAAAAUCAUAAGAAGCAAAAUAUGACUGCAGGGAAAAGAAGCUGGAGAGAACAGAAGACUCAUCACGGCGGGACAGCGUGAGGACUGAAAGUGUAAGAAGAUGUGGAGGGAAACAGAGAAUCUGACAGGAGCAGCGAACGCACGAGUGCACGAAUUUUGCUUUUUGCUUGGAUGUAAACUCAGGAGUUGAAAGGAAUUUGGGAGUGAGAAGGGACAUUUCAGAAGGAGAAGAAGAAAAAGAAGUUGUUGUUGUUGCUACAGUCCUGGCAAAAGCUUUUGUUCUAGCUAAUAAAAGAAGUUAGUUUAAAAAACAA